ACAUCAGCAACACUUCAAGGUUUUAUCAUAUUUAUAUGACUUGGUAGUAAAGAAAUCUUGAACGUUACUUUUUUUCCUUUCCAAAGUUUUUUCACACAACUAUAUGGCAAGUUGAGCUCUACGAGGUUCUUCGGAUCAAAACAUUGCGGCAAAGAGCUUAGAGGAUAAUAUUCCCAGUGCAGAAGCCUUAGCUUGCUCGGCAAGUAUUCAAGACCUUGAGCUGCGACAUGUCCAGGAAAAUCCCCUCGAUAGCUGAUGUGCCCUGGAAACGACCAAGAGCAAUAAAGUUAACCAGCAAUAAGAAACAAUUUAGCCAGAAAGAACAGCACAUUAAGAGGACAAAGACUUUACAGUGUUAUCUACGAAGACGUCCAUAAAAUCUUUGGAAUUGCACAGCCUGCUCCGGUCUCCAGGCCUGUCCACUGAUUCUUGGCGAACAAUUUCUCGACCUGUUGCCUGGAGAAAUCGAAGCAUAUCCACCAUCUUAUGUGAUAUGGUUAACAAUGAUUUCUCAACAAGACUUUUAAACCCAAUGUGUGUAGAGAAACCACAACUAUCAAGCAACACUGCAAUGUCGGCUUUAUCAAUCCUUUUAAAGAAACAUGCAAUGUCCAAAAAUAUACUUCUCUCAUUGUCAUCAAGCCCACAGCAGCUUCCUUCAAAUAUACCUGGAAUGUAAAUGGGAGAUGUUUCUUGAACUUGUUCUGA